rnacentral:lncRNA from 1 species
ACUAAGGAAAGGCGGCCCUGGAGCGCCUAGCGGAGAGCAAAGAAAGGUCGAUGAUGGAAAUCGACCGCGUGGUGGUGCUAAUACCCUCAGGAUGCGAGGCUGUCGAGGCUGUCUCCUACCAGACAGAAACCGAGGUCCAAGGAAGAGGAGGGGAGAGUUUCGGAGCCAAAUGGUUAUCCUCCAACUAGACUUUACACCCGCCCCCACCAGCUGCCCCAGUCUUAACGGACUUUGAUGUGUCUGAGCUUUAAGAAUCCUCAUUCUACUUUGUAACAAACCCUAGCAACUUCCUCAUGUAAGACCAAGUGCCAGUGAGCAAGGAGCAGCUGCUGCAGCCAUCACCAACAGAGGAGCAUCUUCAUCCAUUAACCCUCAGCGUGCCUACUAGCAACUUCCUCAUGUAAGACCAAGUGCCAGUGAGCAAGGAGCAGCUGCUGCAGCCAUCACCAACAGAGGAGCAUCUUCAUCCAUUAACCCUCAGCGUGCCUACUGUGUGACUGUGCCUGAUACAGAGAUGGCAUCGAUCCUUAGGACUUGGAAAAGGCUGAAAAUGAAGGAAACGAAGUACAUGAAAGAGCCGAGGCUGGCAGGUAAGGAAUCUGAGUCUCUUGAAGCUCCUUGGUCUCCAUGAGUCCUUAGAGAUGCUAAGCAAGGCAUAACUCAUCUUUGACAGUCCAGGAAGGUCCUGCUUCUCUCAUGAUUAAGAGAACCAUCUACUUCAGUGUGUCUACACUAUCGAUGGAACAUCCAGUGUAUAUGGUCCUUAUAGUCCACCCAAGAAUAAUGGACUACCGGGUAGACCCACAUUCAAACUUGCAGGGUUGAACCAAGGUCAGAGAGAAGCCCUCAGAAGCUAGACCCAACUGAUCUUUUAGGGUCUGGAUGCUGUCUGCUGGUUCCUGUGUAAAGGCCCUGCCUCUUCCAACCCAUCAAUGCCUCUGAAGUAACUCUGUAAGAAAUCAGUGAUGAUAGCUGGGCGUAGUGGUAAUCCCAGCACUCGGGAGGCAGAAGCAGGCAGAUUUCUGAGUUCGAGGCCAGCCUGGUCUACAAAGUGAGUUGCAGGACAGCCAGAGCUAUACAGAGAAACCCUGUCUCGAACCCCCCCCCCAAAAAAAGAAAUCAGUGAUGAAGGGAUAAAAGCUCUGUUUUGCCUCGAAAUGGCUGGAGCAAAGUUUUAUUGGUCUGAGAGGUUGGUGUUCUUAAGCCCUGAGUGACUCAGUAUCCUGGGGUGCAGGAGAACCUCCCAUCACACAAGGUCUGAGAAUCCGUUUUCGUAGCUGUGACGUAGGAAGGUGGAGGGUCUGGUGAAGCUAGAUCCAUGUACUGCUUUUUGUGAAAAAUUAAAAAAAAAAAAAGCUUUGGAAUGUGAGAUAAAGUCA